UCCUCCGUGGCGCAAUUGGCUAGCGCGUCUGACUGUUAUUACCACUGUUCCCGCGACAGGAAUGCAAUCAGGAGGUUGACAGUUCAAGCCUGUCCGGGGGAG